rnacentral:rRNA from 1 species
AUGAAUGUUACUCUAGCGCCUGUGGACCGUGUCUGUGCAGUCGUAUUAUUUGAUGAUAUACUUGUGUUCAGUGCUACCUUAGAGGAACAUGUGCAACACCUCAAGCAAGUUUUGCAACUACUAAGGCAACAUCAGUGGAGAGUUAAAGAGUCAAAAUGUGCAUUCGCCCAACGUAGCAUAUCAUAUCUGGGCUUUGUGGUCAGUGGGAACGGAGUGUCAACAGACCCAGCUAAGGUGCAAGCGGUCCUUGAGUGGCCAGUGCCCCAAUCUAUUAAGGAGCUUCGAGGGUUCCUUGGACUUUCUGAGUACUACAGGAAAUUUGUGCGCAAUUAUGGUGUUAUCAGUCAGCCCUUGACUCAUCUCUUGCGCAAGAAUGUGCCCUUUGUAUGGUCUACAACAACACAUGCUGCUUUUGAAGUGUUAAAAAAAGCUCUAACAUCAGCACCUGUACUUGCUUUGCCCGAUUUCAAGGUUCAGUUUAUUGUUGAAACUGAUGCUAGUGACACUAGGCAUUUUGAGUUUUUUAUUUUUACUGAUCACUUCAGUUUGGCCCAUCUGGAAGACCAACGCUUGCAUACUCCCUGGCAGCAGAAAGUGUUCACUAAGUUGCUAGGUUUGCAGUUCAAGAUAAAGUACAAAAAAGGGUCUGAAAAUCGAGUUGCAGAUGCCUUAUCUAGUAGACCACAUCCUGAGUCUGAAUUAUUAGCGAUCACUUGUCAACACCUAGCUUGGUUGCAGGAUGUGUGUGACACCUACCAACAUGAUCAAGAAGUGCAAGAAUUGCUUACAAGAUUGGCUGUUCACUCUGACUCUGAAGAUGUUUUUUCUCUACAAAAUGGACUGAUCAGGUACAAGCAGCGAUUGUGGUUGCCUAAUGGCUUGCCCAUGACAGUGAAAAUUAUUGAGGCUUUCCAUGCUAGUCCCCUGGGAGGACAUUCAGGUGUGCCAGUCACCUUGCAGAAGCUCAAGAAAUUAUUCUAUUGCAAAGGCAUGAGUAAUCAAGUGCAUAAGACGGUGCAAGAAUGCUUGAUCUGUCAACGU